rnacentral:rRNA from 1 species
UGCAAGUCGAACGGGGAGUACGUGGAAGUCCUUCGGGGCGGAAGAUUAAUUCGAGUGGCGGACGGGUGAGUAACGCGUGAGCAACCUGUCCCAGACAGGGGGAGUAACACUUGGAAACAGGUGCUAAUACCGCAUAAGACCACGGCACCACAUGGUGCAGGGGGUAAAAGGUGCAAACCGGUUUGGGGUGGGCUCGCGUCCGAUUAGAUAGUUGGUGAGGUAACGGCCCACCCAAGUCGACGAUCGGUAGCCGGACUGAGGGGUUGGCCGGCCACAUUGGAACUGAGAGACGGUCCAAACUCCUACGGGAGGGCAGCAGUGGGGAAUAUUGGGCAAUGGGCGAAAGCCUGACCCAAGCAACGCCGCGUGAGUGAAGAAGGCCUUCGGGUUGUAAAGCUCUGUUAUGCGAGAAGAAGGACGUGACGGUAUCGCAUAAGGAAGCCCCGGCUAACUACGUGCCAGCCGCCGC